rnacentral:rRNA from 1 species
CCCUUAGAUGUUCUGGGCCGCACGCGUGCUACACUGAGUGGAUCAGCGGGUCAGGUUGCGCGAAAGUGUUUCCUAAUCUUUAAAUCCGCUCGUGAUGGGGAUUGACGGUUGCAAUUUUCCGUCAUGAACGAGGAAUACCUUGUAAGCGCGGGUCAUCAUCCCGCGCUGAAUACGUCCCUGCCCUUUGUACACACCGCCCGUCGCUCCUACCGAUUGAGUGGUCCGGUGAGGCUUUGGGAUCUGAGCGGAAAGAGCGUUUCGCUGUUUCUGCCCGGAAAACUCAGUCGAACCUUAUCAUUUAGAGGAAGGAGAAGUUGUAACA